ensembl:lncRNA
GUUGAGCCACGGGACAGGGUAUGGGGUAAGUUGAGCCACGGGACAGGGUAUGGGGUAAGUUGAGCCAUGGGACAGGGUAUGGGGUAAGUUGAGCCACGGGACAGGGUAUGGGGUAGGUUGAGCCAUGGGACAGGGUAUGGGGUAAGUUGAGCCAUGGGACAGGGUAUGAGGUAAGUUGAGACACGGGACUGGGUAUGGAGUAAGUUGAGCCGCGGGACAGGGUAUGGGGUAAGUUGAGACACGGGACAGGGUAUGAGGUAAGUUGAGCCAUGGGACAGGGUAUGGGGUAAGUUGAGCCAUGGGACAGGGUAUGAGGUAAGUUGAGACACGGGACAGUUGAGACACGGGACAGGGUAUGGGGUAAGUUGAGCCGCGGGACAGGGUAUGGGGUAAGUUGAGCCGCGGGACAGGGUAUGGGGUAAGUUGAGACACGGGACUGGGUAUGGGGUAAGUUGAGACACGGGACAGGGUAUGGGG